UUCUGAUCAGUUGGAGGUGGAUGGAAGCUGUAGAUCGGGAGAGUUUCAGCUAACCUCCGUCUAUUUUCUCUUUUUUCUGCACUGGCUGAAGAGGCAAAGGCCUUCUUCUAGCUGGUGGGCUUUCUAGAAGGAGAUCAGAAACUGACUUCUUGCCCCACGAGGAAGAGGCAGAGGCAGAGCAAGAUCCCCCGGCCCUGUGAAAGCUACCUGGAAGCUGGGCAUGCUGUCUGUACCCCUUCAGCCUCCUUCAGAGGGACGGUCCCCAGGCGCUUCCUGCUCUGAAUUUUAGACGCUUCUCUGCCUUUGUCCUUCCAACCUCAGGCCUGGCAGAGGAGAGAGCUCACCCACAUAGUCUCAGAAACAGUUGAGGGAAUGAGAGACCACGGUUAGCCACCCAGACACUGUCCUAUCAAUGUCUUGGCAAGCAGCUCUCUGGAAACCCCAGAACGACUGGGCCAAGACCUGCUUCCUCUCCUGACCGCUUCCUGCAAACUGGGGCAGUGCCAGUAGGCACUAUAGUUCUGCAGCUAUGGCUAGAACUCUUGAUGUCCAGGCUGGACUGACUUAGGAGGACAGGGACUUGGAUCACUCCUCUCAGGAUGGCAAAACUUGUUCCUUCUCUUGCUGUGAGCCCAAGCUCCCACCUAACUUCCAUCCCCUUGGGGACCACCUGCCACCAAGUCCUGUGAUGUCUACCAUCUUAUUUCUGGAGGCCUAAAGACGACUUGAAACUUUAAGCAACCUACAUAGCCUGCCCUGCACUGUGAAAGCUAGCCACCCCGAGAGACUCCUGGUCAAUUCAAGAUCAGUUUCUUUAUGUUCUGCAUCCAAACUGUGAUGUUUUCAGCAGCAAGGUCAUACCAUCUCGUUAUCAUUGGCAACCAAGAACAACCACAAUAACCUGUGCUGUUGGGCUGCCUCUGGGGACACCCUGAGCAAUAAAAAAGGUAGAACCCAUGCCUGUCACUGGGAUUUUCACUUAAUAAG